CUCCAUCCUCGGGAAAUAUAAAAGGAACCUCUUAGGGCAAAGAGGGCUACCGCUUAUCAAACUCAAUUCUACAUCCUCGAGGAAAAUAUAAAAGGUGACUCUUUCUCCUCAUCUUAAUUCGAUCAGUUUCGUGAGUUCGUAUGUACUGUAUUUACAAUUAUGAUUUCUUGUGUAAUUGUUAACAAGUUUAGGUUUAGGGUUCCUGAAUGAUUUUUUCCCUAGUCAAUUUGUGAAAUCCUAGAACUUAAAAUUGAUGUAAAUUUAUUGGAUUUUGAUUAAUAUUACAGUUUAUAUUGUAAACUACUCGAAAAAUACUCGCGUUAAAAAUUGUUGUUUCAAAAAUUAGAAUAAAUUCAUAUCACAAUUUGAAUUUUAGAAUUUUUGCAAAUUAACUAGGAUCAAAGUCAAAUGGGACUUUUUGUGGAACGGAGGGAGUAUUUAUUAUUUAUGUAUAUUAUUCAUCUCUUAGGUAUGUGAAAUUUGAAAUUUUCCAUACUUUCAAUUUUUUGUUUCUUUCUGAUUCCCGUGACAGGAAAGGAAGUAAUAGAAGAGAUAGAGUUUAAUAUCCAAAAUCUGAAUUCCACUUAAAGCUUUCAAAUUGAGUUAUUUAGGUUGGAUAUAGUUUCUUAGAUCUGUUGGAAUAUAGCCAUUCUCAUUUGCACUCCGGGCCUUAGAGGUCCGAACGUCAUUUGGAAAAUACCCUGCAGGGGUAUUAUAGCCACAGAGGUUGGCUGAAUAUCGUGUUCUCGAUGGUCUAGUGAUUUUCCAUAAUUUCAUAGCCAUCUUACACCGGGACUAACGAAAUAUAGUAUUUAUGUAUAUAUGUAUAGAUGUACAUAUUUGUAACAAUACUGAAUUCAGGGGGAAAAGAAAAAGAAAACAGCGGAAUAGAAAGAAGAGAAGAACACAGUGGUGGAGCCGUGGAGUUUUGAGGGUAUUCGCAUGAGGUCAAAGCAUACUGCCUUCAUGAGGGGCCGAAGGGCUGAGUUCUUUCUCCAUCUUCUUUCUUUUCUGCUUGGGCUUAUUUCUCUAACUCCCGGAAUGUAGUUUUUUUUUUAAUUAUUAAUUAUUCUGGGGCUGAGUCUGCUAUGAACAGCUAGAUAUGCACUAGGUGAAAUAGUGAGCAGACUUAAGCCCAGCCAUGGUUCACUCCCCUAUAUAAUUAAUUUUUUUGUGUGUCUAACUGGAUCAUUUCAGGGCUAUUAUUUUGUAUCCACUCAUAACCCUAGUGUUCUAAGAUAAAUAAUUGAAAUUAUGGCAUUAUACAAUGUGAUAAAUACAUUGUACUUUCCUGAGCUAUGUAUCAUGGAAUAAUAUUUCGUUUUUCUAAUAUUUGAUGGAUAAGAACGAGAGAUUCUGUUUGUUCCAAGUCGAUCCAUUUUGUGUAUUUGAUCUACACUUGUUAUUUAAUUUUAUUUGAACUGCAAUUUUAAUCAUGAAGGAAAGCAAGUAUUACAUUCUAUUUCAGCUAUAGGUU
rnacentral:lncRNA from 1 species